GCCCCUCUGCGGCCCGGCGUGGGAAGCCCGUGGCCGGCGGAGCCUGCUCGGAGCUGGGCGGGGAGCGCCGCGGCAGUCCGGCCGCAGGCAGCCAUCCCCUGCGGUGGCCGGCAUCCCCUCGGGACUCCUGGAGGCCUGGCGGCUCCCGAUCCUCGUCUGCGGCAGCCGCCUGAGAGAGCAGCGCGGCCGUAGCCGGGGGCCGGAGAGCGCUGGUGGGUGCAGAUGGAUGAGUCGUGCAGGGCAACGGAGGAGAGCCCAGGGGAGCGCUGGAAGAAGGUAACAGCCCUGCGAUGCUGCGGUGCCUGCGAGGUGAUGCCGCCGUGCUCGUUGCUGCUUCCUGGUAAGGAAAGGCCUCCUCCGCUCCUGCUGCAGCGUGGUGGUGUGUCGGACACGAUUCCCUGUGUCAGGUGAGGCCUAGGGCUGCUGGUGAGGUGGAGGAUGGCCUAGAGUCUGGAGCUGCAGAAGAGGCAGGGCGGAGAGGAGGGGAAAGAAGCAUCUGAACGGCUAAAUUGUGCCAGCAGCGCUGAGAGCGAGAGUCGCGGUGAGUCCUGGGCCACUGGGGCCCCGUUGCCUCUCUUGUACAUCCUGGGCCCUCCCUGUCUCUCCCCCCUGGCCCC